rnacentral:snRNA from 1 species
AACCAUGCGCAGUGGCAGUAUCAUAGGUUCAUCUGAAGUGUGAUUAUUGAUAGUUGAAAACUUUACCCAAUACCCCGCCUUGGUGAUUAGAAAUAUAAUCGUCAAAGGCAAUUUUUGACAGUCUCUAUGGAGA